AGCUCCAAUAGCGUAUACUAAAGUUGUUGCAGUUAAAAAGCUCGUAGUUGGAUUUCUGCGGGGGCGGGGCGGCCGACCACAACUCGUGGUUCGAGCUAGCACUUCCCCUGCAUCCUGCCGCGAACCGUGCUACCAUUAGUUUGGUGGCGCUGGGGAUCGGCUCGUUUACUUUGAGAAAAAUAGAGUGUUCAAAGCAGGCCACACGCCUUGAAUAAGUUAGCAUGGAAUAA
rnacentral:rRNA from 1 species